rnacentral:rRNA from 1 species
AACGAACGCUGGCGGUAUGCCUAACACAUGCAAGUCGAACGAGACCUUCGGGUCUAGUGGCGCACGGGUGCGUAACGCGUGGGAAUCUACCCUUGGGUUCGGAAUAACAGUUAGAAAUGACUGCUAAUACCGGAUGGUGACGUAAGUCCAAAGAUUUAUCGCCCAAGGAUGAGCCCGCGUAAGAUUAGCUUGUUGGUGGGGUAAUGGCCUACCAAGGCGACGAUCUUUAGCUGGUCUGAGAGGAUGAUCAGCCACACUGGGACUGAGACACGGCCCAGACUCCUACGGGAGGCAGCAGUGGGGAAUAUUGGACAAUGGGCGAAAGCCUGAUCCAGCAAUGCCGCGUGAGUGUUGAAGGCCUUAGGGUUGUAAAGCUCUUUUACCAGGGAUGAUAAUGACAGUACCUGGAGAAUAAGCUCCGGCUAACCCCGUGCCAGCAGCCGCCGUAA